rnacentral:misc_RNA from 1 species
GAUGAAGAACGCAGCGAAAUGCGAUACUUGGUGUGAAUUGCAGAAUCCCGUGAACCAUCGAGUCUUUGAACGCAAGUUGCGCCCGAAGCCAUUAGGCCGAGGGCACGCCUGCCUGGGCGUCACACGUCGUUGCCCCCCCCAUCUACUCCUUCGGGAUUGCGGGGGGCGGAUGAUGGCCUCCCGUGCGCCUCGCCGCGCGGUUGGCCUAAAUGCCAAGUCCUCGGCGACGCACGCCACGACAAUCGGUGGUUGCGAAACCUCGGUUGCCCGUCGUGUGCGGUCGUCGCGCAUCGAGGGCUCGAAAAAAUUGCCGGGCUCCGGCUCGGCUUUCAACGCGACCCCAGGUCAGGCGGGGUUACCCGCUGAAUUUAAGCAUAUCAAUAAGCGGAGGA